UACGUAGGGUGCAAGCGUUGUCCGGAAUUAUUGGGCGUAAAGAGCUCGUAGGCGGUUUGUCGCGUCUGCUGUGAAAACUCGGGGCUUAACCCCGGGCCUGCAGUGGGUACGGGCAGACUAGAGUGCGGUAGGGGAGACUGGAAUUCCUGGUGUAGCGGUGAAAUGCGCAGAUAUCAGGAGGAACACCGGUGGCGAAGGCGGGUCUCUGGGCCGUAACUGACGCUGAGGAGCGAAAGCGUGGGGGAGCGAACAGGA
rnacentral:rRNA from 1 species